rnacentral:rRNA from 1 species
AGUGAACGCUGGCGGUAGGCCUAACACAUGCAAGUCGAACGGCAGCACAGGAGAGCUUGCUCUCUGGGUGGCGAGUGGCGGACGGGUGAGGAAUACAUCGGAAUCUACCUUUUCGUGGGGGAUAACGUAGGGAAACUUACGCUAAUACCGCAUACGACCUACGGGUGAAAGUGGGGGACCGCAAGGCCUCACGCGAUUAGAUGAGCCGAUGUCCGAUUAGCUAGUUGGCGGGGUAAUGGCCCACCAAGGCGACGAUCGGUAGCUGGUCUGAGAGGAUGAUCAGCCACACUGGAACCGAGACACGGUCCAGACUCCUACGGGAGGCAGCAGUGGGGAAUAUUGGACAAUGGGCGCAAGCCUGAUCCAGCCAUACCGCGUGGGUGAAGAAGGCCUUCGGGCUGUAAAGCCCUUUUGUUGGGAAAGAAAUCCUGUCGAUUAAUACUCGGUGGGGAUGACGGUACCCAAAGAAUAAGCACCGGCUAACUUCGUGCCAGCCGCCGCAGUAACAC